rnacentral:rRNA from 1 species
UGGGGAAUAUUGCACAAUGGGCGCAAGCCUGAUGCAGCCAUGCCGCGUGUGUGAAGAAGGCCUUCGGGUUGUAAAGUACUUUCAGCGGGGAGGAAGGGAGUAAAGUUAAUACCUUUACUCAUUGACGUUACCCGCAGAAGAAGCACCGGCUAACUCCGUGCCAGCAGCCGCGGUAAUACGGAGGGUGCAAGCAUUAAUCGGAAUUACUGGGCGUAAAGCGCACGCAGGCGGUUUGUUAAGUCAGAUGUGAAAUCCCCGGGCUCAACCUGGGAACUGCAUCUGAUACUGGCAAGCUUGAGUCUCGUAGAGGGGGGUAGAAUUCCAGGUGUAGCGGUGAAAUGCGUAGAGAUCUGGAGGAAUACCGGUGGCGAAGGCGGCCCCCUGGACGAAGACUGACGCUCAGGUGCGAAAGCGUGGGGAGCAAACAGG